rnacentral:rRNA from 1 species
AUUGACCGCUGGCGGCAGGCCUAACACAUGCAAGUCGAUCGGAGCGGCGGACGGGUGAGUAAUGCCUAGGAAUCUGCCUGGUAGUGGUGGAUAACGUCCGGAAACGGGCGCUAAUACCGCAUACUAUCAGAUGAGCCUCUGUCGGAUUAGCUAGUUGGUGGGGUAAAGGCCUACCAAGGCGACGAUCCGUACCUGGUCUGAGAGGAUGAUCAGUCACACUGGAACCGAGACACGGUCCAGACUCCUACGGUAGGUAGCAGUGGGGAAUAUUGGACAAUGGGCGAAAGCCUGAUCCAGCCAUGACGCGUGUGUGAAGAAGGUCUUCGGAUUGUAAAGCACUGUAAGUUGGGAGGCGUUACCAACAGAAUAAGCACCGGCUAACUUCGUGCCAGCAGCCGCGGUAAUUC